rnacentral:lncRNA from 1 species
GUUGCAGUUAAACUUUAGUUAGCUUUUUCUCUUUAUUUGUAUUUUGCUUCAAGGAUCACUGAUGGUAGUGCACUUAGUUACUUCCUCGUCCUCUUGUUGGUGGAAGUGUUGCAUCAAAGAAUGUAAACAGAGGGGCUCGAUGAGAUGACUACAUGGUAUGAAUCUUCCACCAGUGAAUACUGAAUACGAGAGAGGUGAUCCUUGCAAGUUGCUUAUCUCCUUGUUGAAGAUACUAUGUCAGCAAAAUGGGAAACUACCCGCACCUUCUGGGUCUGACUCAUCAGAAGAGGUACUUUCUUUGUUUCAUGCUUCAUUUUGUUGCAGUCAUAGUUGUACUUAUUAUAUUACCGUUCUAUUGUGUGCCUGUAAGCCUGUUCCACUUUGCUAUAAUUAUAAUUAUUCAUUCAGAAUUUUCAUCAGAUGGAAGAUGCCCAUAAUGCACGUUUGACUUAACCACCCUUGUGUUGUGAUGAUGUCAUAUAGUGCAAGGAAACUAAUACUUUUGAUACGAUUACCAUUUCUGAACGGUUGUGCCGCAUGCAGUAGACCUGCUUUUUCAUAAUUAAUUAUGUUUGGUGUUAUUGCCUGGCCAUGUCAUAGGUUCUGAUUCUCCGUUGAAAUGUACUGGUUUCUGAACUGAACUAUUACCUGCAACUAGCGGCUACUGGUUUGAACCUGUUUCACGGUCCUCAUUUGGGCUACAAUUUAAAAUGGUUCCUUUCCAAGGAUUCAGAAGAUUACUGAGUUGGAUUAUACCCAGUUCCAGUAGUAUCUCAAAUUAUAGAUUGGUAUUAUGAGGUAGCUGAAUGUCUAACUAGCUCGUCGUCUAGCAAUAUGAGGCGGUGGAACCUUGCAAAACUUACUCUUUUUUUUCCUUUCGUUGAGUAACAUAAGUUAGACCUGUCAUUUUGUAGCACCAUAUAUGGGAUGAUUUUGACUAUUUCGGCAACCUUUGUCUGAUUCUGGUUUGAAUUCUUGGUAAUAGGAUACAGACGGUCCAGAGAUGGCAGUAGCUAAGUAAGCUGUUUUCAUCUUGUGAGAGAAGUGGCGCUCAUAGUCAUAUGGGGGAUUUUGAAUUCCCUCUCAAAGGUCAGAUGCAGGUUCUUGUUAUACUCUGUCAUUGCCAUAUUUAGCCAAGUGCCCCCCACCCCUAGUAAGUACUACUUGUGGGUUUUACACUGUCUGAAAUGAAGAUAACGAUGUAUCUCAUGGUCAUGGGGUAGCAGCAGCAUGCUGGUUUAUCAUCUCGAUAAGCUCUUGGACCAAGCGGUCGACGGGUAUGUAUAUUUGUUCAGUGUGCUUACUCAAAAGUUUUCGAUUUACUGAAUGUGGAUGUCACUUCCUUUCUACUUCCUCCGUCCGGAAAUACUUGUCAUCAAAAUGGAUGUAUCUAGACGUAUUUUAGUAGACUCCCAAAGUUUUCCAUCUUGAUUUGCUUGCGGAUUAUUGGGAGCAGUUUAAUUUUGAGCUGAGAAGAUGGCACCCAAUACAUGUUCGGUCAAUUUAUUUAUUUUACUCCAGGUGGUAGUGUGUUGGCCGUUGGAUAAACAAAAUCUUGCGUCCUUUGAUUAAUAAAGUAACCUUUUCUGUCAAAAAAAAGAAAAAAAAAUCUUGCGUGGUCUGUGACGGGCUCGACUCUAAAUAUUUGUUCAGUUAAUUUACUUUUCUGAUGCCGCUGCCUGGUUAUGUAAAACUCUCUUAUUUUUACUCACUGCAAUUGGGUACAUUUCAUCACAAAACAGAGAUCGGCGGUACAUGCUCACAAUUUUUUUUCUCAUGAAGAAACAAUGAAACUCCUUUUCUCAUGCUCACAAUUUCCCGCAAAAAAAAAGAAGAAGAAACAAUGAAACUGAAACUCCUUUUCGGAUCCCAAGCUCAAAUGCUCAUUG